rnacentral:rRNA from 1 species
UACGUAGGGUGCGAGCGUUAAUCGGAAUUACUGGGCGUAAAGCGUGCGCAGGCGGUUCGUUAAGUUCGUUGUGAAAGCCCCGGGCUCAACCUGGGAACUGCAAUGGAAACUGGCGGGCUUGAGUGCGGCAGAGGGGGGUGGAAUUCCGCGUGUAGCAGUGAAAUGCGUAGAGAUGCGGAGGAACACCGAUGGCGAAGGCAGCCCCCUGGGCCGACACUGACGCUCAGGCACGAAAGCGUGGGGAGCGAAUGGG